GGUGCUUAGCUCAGCUGGGAGAGCGUCGCCCUUACAAGGCGAAGGUCGAAGGUUCGGGUUCGAGUCCCGUCCGCUCCG
rnacentral:tRNA from 1 species